UACAGAGGGUGCGAGCGUUAAUCGGAAUUACUGGGCGUAAAGCGUGCGUAGACGGUUUUGUAAGUCGGAUGUGAAAUCCCCGGGCUCAACCUGGGAAUUGCAUUCGAGACUGCAAGGCUUGGGUGCGGAAGAGGGAAGCGGAAUUUCCGGUGUAGCGGUGAAAUUCGUAGAUAUUCGGAAGAACACCAGUGGCGAAGGCGACUUACUGGACACAUAUUGACGCUGAGGUGCGAAAGCGUGGGGAGCAAACAGG
rnacentral:rRNA from 1 species